GAACUACUCCCUCCGUCCCAAAAUUCUUGUCUUAAAUUUAUCUAGAUUUGAAUGUAUCUAAAUACUAAAACGUGACUAGAUACAUAUCUAAUUAAAUCUAAGACAAAAAAUUUGGGACUGAGGGAGUACUAG
rfam:Hordeum vulgare subsp. vulgare, WGS project CAJW01000000 data, contig: morex_contig_41542